rnacentral:rRNA from 1 species
UACACGCUGUGACUAGCAUAUCAAUAAGCGGAGGAAAAGAAACUAACAAGGAUUCCCCUAGUAACGGCGAGUGAAGCGGGAAGAGCUCAAAUUUGAAAUCUUAAAGGGUUUCCCUUUACGAAUUGUAGUUUAAAGAAGUGUUUUCUGUUGAGGUUUUGGUAAAAGUUCUUUGGAAUAGGACAUCAUAGAGGGUGAGAAUCCCGUAUUUGACCUUUACUUUCAACUUUGUGAUACACUUUCAAAGAGUCGGAUUGUUUGGGAAUGCAGUCCAAAAUGGGUGGUAAAUUUCAUCUAAAGCUAAAUAUUGGCGAGAGACCGAUAGCGAACAAGUACCGUGAGGGAAAGAUGAAAAGAACUUUGAAAAGAGAGUUAAACAGUACGUGAAAUUGUCAAAAGGGAAGCGUUUGACACCAGUGUUGUUUUUCUGAAAAUCAAUUAAAGAACUGUUUAUGCUAAGUUGUUUAGACUUUAUCAGCUAACUGUUUAGUUUUGAGCUUUUCUUUAAUGCACUUUUCAGUUAACAAGUCAACAUCAAUUUCUUUUGCUGUGAAAAAAGCUUGAGGAAGGUGGCUUGAGAUUCGUCUUAAGUGUUUAUAGCCUCUUGCCUAUGCAGUCGGAGAGAUUGAGGUCUGCAGCGUAGAUCCUUCGGGGCUAAAUGCAUUUGUGCUAAGUUAUAAGCAUUCUAUAGACAACUUGUUGACUAUGAUUUGUCUUGUAGCUUACUCGCUUAUGUUAUUUUACCUACGCUUAGGAUGUUGAAGUCAUCGUAUCGCGC